UACGAAGGGGGCUAGCGUUGCUCGGAAUCACUGGGCGUAAAGGGUGCGUAGGCGGGUCUUUUAAGUCAGGGGUGAAAUCCUGGAGCUCAACUCCAGAACUGCCUUUGAUACUGAAGAUCUUGAGUUCGGGAGAGGUGAGUGGAACUGGCGAGUGUAGAGGGUGAAAUUCGUAGAUAUUCGCAAGAACACCAGUGGCGAAGGCGGCUCACUGGCCCGAUACUGACGCUGAGGCACGAAAGCGUGGGGAGCAAACAGGG
rnacentral:rRNA from 1 species